rnacentral:rRNA from 1 species
GACGGAGGAUGCAAGCGUUAUCCGGAAUGAUUGGGCGUAAAGCGUCCGCAGGUGGCGAUUCAAGUCUGCGGUCAAAGACUGGGGCUUAACCCUGGAAAGGCCGUGGAAACUGAAUAGCUAGAGUGCAGUAGGGGUAGAGGGAAUUCCCGGUGUAGCGGUGAAAUGCGUAGAGCUCGGGAAGAACAUCGGUGGCGAAAGCGCUCUGCUGGACUGCAACUGACACUCAGGGACGAAAGCUAGGGGAGCGAAUGGG